CUCCUGCUCCUGUCAUCUCUAAGCUCCUCACACAUCUUUACCUGCACAUGAGGAAAAUCACUCCUGUAGAAUGCAGUGGUUCAUCAGAACCUCUGGGGAUGUCCUGUGGAUCCUGUGGAUCCUGUGGGUUGCAGGGUGGGUCCUACCUAGACCAGGCUGAUCCUGGACCAUCCCACUGAUGCUCAAUCAGAUCUGGAUGUGGGGAGUGUGGAACCCAGGUGAACAGCUUAGCUCUGUCGUGUUCCUCAGACCACUCCUGAGCAGUUUAAUUUGUCCUGCUGAGGGUGGCAGCUGGCAUCAAGGACUGCUGUUGCCAUGGAGACUAGGGGCUUGUUUGUCCUGCAGUGUUUAGGUGGUGGUACAUGUCAAACAUCCACAUGAACGUCAAGGUUUCCCAGCAGAACGUUGCAUUAGAACAAGAUGAUGGAUGUUGUUCUCUUCAGCUGUCAGUGGUCAGAAUGUUGUGGCUGAUCGGUGGAUCUGUCUGCCUUUACUCUGACAUCCAGAGUUAUACAAAAGUGUAGUAUGUGUGCAGUGCAGAAGAGAUUUACUUUGUUGUAUGCAGUUUUUUUUUUUUUUUUUUUUUUAAAGGGAGAGCAUUUUUUUUAUCCACCUGAAUAAAGACCCAAUCUUUCCCUUCAAAGGAUAGUUAAUUGUUACUACGGCUUCCAUAGUGGUCCCAUCAGAGAAAAUCAUAUCCAUAUGCAGAUUUUUAUCAAUUCCAGGACUGGUUCAGUAAAGAUUAUAAUCAUAAGUACAUCAGAUAAUUCUUAGUCGCAGUUGGAAUUUUGCAGCCUGAGAGAUGGUUGAGAAGGUUUGCAGUUCUUGUUUUAGCAAAAUAUGUUAUUGUACAUGAAAUUAUCUGCAAACCAGCAAAGUGCAUCAGUCUGAGGUAUCUAAAAGUAAAUAAGUAAAGAAAAAUGCUUCUAAAGCCAAUAAUAAACAGAAUAUUUUGAGGGAAUAUUCUAAAAAGGAAAGAAAAGCUCCAUUCUCACUCAUCUCAGGAUAAACUGUCAUUAAAAUUGACUUUAAAUUUAGCUUCAACACAAGAUAAAAACAUUUACUUUCAUUACUGAUGUCAAGUUUUAAUAAAGUUCAUGCUACUUUUAUAAAAUGAUGAAAGUGAAUAAAUUGUAUUUCUGUGAUCUGUGUUUGAUUUCUGUCUUUUCUCCUGUCAUCCAGAUGUUCAGAGGGAGAUGAUGCCACAUCUGGUCCAGCUGAUGGAAGGUCUUGAAGUUCUCUGACUGGCCUCGACUGAAGAUGGUCGUCUCACUGGAUUUAAGGUUCAGAUGCUCAGUAACAAACUCUACCAAUGAGCCAACAGGGAAGCUUUAGGUUUAUUAAAUGUUGCUAUGAAGGUUUCACUGUUUUUCUUUGUGAAUGCAAUGUGCUCCAACUGAAACUUGAAGUAGAACUUAGAAGUAAAUCCUUCCAUCUGAAAGGAUUUAGUUGCAUUAAUAACCUCAUAACAUUCUAAUUUUUAUUCCAGUCUUGGUUGGAAAUAGAAUCUCUGUAUUGAUUUAGGUAAAAACUGAACUUCACAGCAUGUUGAAGCAAAACAACCAGAUGAAAACUGUGAUGGUGUUGGAUUGUCAGACCGUAUUGUUGCAGCUCAAAGCAGCUUUUCUAGCUCAGUUCAUUCUGACAUUCAGCUAUGAAUCAACACAGCAGAUGGUGAUCCAUGCUGUGGAAGUCUCACAUCUCCUGAUUUAAUGGAGCUGCUUUGCACUUUUUACACUGUUUAUUCACCAACACUUUAUUUAAUCAAAGUCCCAUCUAGUUUUUAUGAGGAAUGUGAUGUUUUAAUUUCUCUGUGAAUAACUGCAGUCUAAUGUAACAGCUGGAGUUGUAACAUCUGUCCUGAUAUUGAUCAUGAAGUAUUGAUCAUGAAGUAUUGAUCAGAAUACUUAUGGGCAGCAGUCAUCCCUGAAGUUUUACAUUAAAAUCUUUACUUGUGUUGUGAACUUUGGUAAGAAGCAGAAACUUUAGCGUUCCAUGGAUACAUGAGUGUUAAAUUCUGUCCAUGUUUCCAUUCUGGGAAAUGCAGUCCAGCAGAUGAGUUUGUUUUUACUGCCAGCUACCAUUCAGUCUGAGAUAUUAAGAAUAAGUAAAUGUGCAUAAUGUGGAAAUGAACAGAUUUUAUUUUUAUUUAUUCCUACAGCUGCUGCACGGAAAGUUCCAGAAUGUGGAGGAAUUUAGUCUCACAAUCACAGACAAUAAAUAUUAUCUGAAAGUCAGGUUAUUGUUGUUUAUCAGCACAAUACAAAAAGAUUCGUGUUAAACAUAUUCCAGUUAAAACUCUAGAAUAUCGUGAUUUAUGUAAAUUUACCUCAAUAAUAUGAAUGUUCAGGUUAAGAUUGUGCAGUGAUAUUUAUUAUGUAAGUUUAGCUGAUUAAAGUUUAUGACUCUGCACUAAAAUAUUAUUUAAAUUUACAUCAUUAUUAUAAUAUUUACGGUCAGACCCUACAGUAUUGAGAUUAAGAAAUAAACUAUUCUAUAAAAUGUAAAUACACUGAACUCAUUUGAAUAUAUUUAAGUGAGACUCUACAAUAUUAUGACACAAAUCUAUCUAAAUCAAAAUUUUAAUCAUUUUCACUCCAAACAUUUACUGGACUGAUUUAAAUAUUAAAAUCACUCCUUUCUAAUCCUCUGCUGUACAUUCAAACCUGAGGCCUUAAAUGGAAACACACAAGUAUCUGAUUGAAGGAACUUCUGCAGAGUCCUGGUUCCAGAACAUGAUGAUAGAAUUAUAGACAAACUUUAACAAAAGCUGUCUGAGAGUUUACAGGUUUUUAUGUUAGAUUUCUUCAGUAAUUUAAUGAGUUAUCAGCAAAAAUCAAGUGUUCAUUUGAUGAACUUCAUUUCCUAAAACAUCCAGAAUUGGAGCUCAUAUCUUUGGCAGCUGUAAAGUUUCUGCUCCUUCAAAGUUCACAACACAAUGAAUGAAUUCCUAAAACACUCUCAAUGCUGGAGAGCAUUUGAUGCUGAAGCAGUGAUCAGUUUUUCUGUUUCUUCUCUGGAGAUGCACAAUGAGGGACGUCUGCAGAGACUGAGAAAGAGUCUCACCACAUCCUGACAUGAGGAAAAAGACUUCAUUGAAGACUACAAUGAGAAAAACUAUCAGACAGCAGACGGCUGCAUUCAAGGUGAGCUCUGAACAUUUGAUCUGGAACAGGAAUUCAAUCACGGCAGCAUGAGCUUCAUUUCAGUCUGUAGCUGCUGAAUUCAUGGAUGAAUCAUCUGGCACUAGAGAGGAAGACCAUCAAACAUCCACAUCAGCUGAUGGAGGUCCAAGAGUCUCACCCAACAAACAACCUACAGAGUGAAGACCUCAAAUCUGAUUGGACGGCCUCCUAUUCAGCCACAUUUUAGGCUGUUAGAUUGUUCCAGAUAAGACAAGUACAAGAUUCUUCAGAGCCGUUCUACCACGAGCCUGACAGGAAGAACUCCAACAGCUACUGAAUGUUCCUGUGGUCCCCUCAAGGCUACAGGAGGAGCCCUAUGAGGACGAGCCGGUCCACCUGAUGGAGGCCAGUCGCUGCGGUUCAAAGCCAACACCGACUACGUGGACUUCUACUGGACCACAUGGAGGCCUUCAAACCGGACCAACAAGUUCAGCGACUCCCCGACUCGUGGGUCUGAGGAUGCUGCCGAGCCUCGGUCCAGCCGGCCUCCUGUCUGUGGAUGUUUGAGUGCUGAGAGGUUUAUGGAUGCGUGUGAACGUGUCUGUGUUGAAACAGCAGCUUUUGACUCAGUAACACCAGGAAAAACCAAGAGCUCCUUUAUUUGUGACUUCCACUAAAAAAAAAAUGAUGAAAAUAAGUUUGCCAGGGUUCUGACUGAUAACAGAUUAUUAAAUAAUGAAAAUAAUCCUUUAAAUAUUCCUUUAAACAGUCCAUUUAGGUCUACAUUUCCUUUACACUGACUGCUUGGUAUAUGUACAAGUAUUUUGGGUGGAAUAUACCAUUAAGCCUGUUGUUCAAGGGUUCUUCUGGGAAUAUACCAUUACACCAACCUUUUAGGUAAAUGUUCCAGGAUGUUGGGUAGAAUAUACCAUCAGAUAAACCUUUUAGGUCUACAUUGGAAGAUUUUAGAGUAGAAUAUUACUCCAGACCAUCCUUUAAGGUGGAAUACUCCUUUACACCAAGAUUUUUUGGUCUACAUCGAACGAUUUUGGGUGGAAUAUUCCUUUGAAUGAACUUUUUAAGUUUAUGUUCAAGGAUGUUGGGUGGAAUAUACCAUCAGACCAACCUCCAAGGUCUACAAUAGUGAAUUUUGGGUGGAAUAUACCAUUAAACUCACCUUUUAGGUCUCCAUUGGAGGGUUUUAGGUGGAAUUUUCUUCCAAACUGUCUUUUAGUCUACAUGUAAGGAUGUUUAGGAUGGUAUAUUCUUCCAAACCAACUUCUCAGGUCUACAUUUCAGGUGGAAUAUUCCUCCAUACUAACUUUUUUGGUCUACAAUGAAGGUUUUUUUCCAAAUCACCCUUUCGGGUCUAUAUUUGAGGUUUUAGGUGGAAUAUUCCUUUUAACCAGCCCCUCAGGUCUCUUUGAGGAUUUUAGAUGGAAUACUCAGUUAAACCAACAUUUUAAGUGCAUGUCCAAGGAUUUUUGGUGGAAUUUUCCUUUAAGGUGGAUGUUUAAGGACCUUGUAGGUGGAAUACUUCCUGAAACCAACCUUUUAGGUCAACAUUCAAAGAUUUAAGGUGGAAUAUUCCUUUAAACCAACCUAAAUUUCAUGUUUUGAUCAUUAUCAAGUGAGAAACCUCAAUCCAGACUCCUCAUAAUGACGUUUGAGAUUUAUGCUGCUGUUAUUUGUUUAGUCCAGACAAAAUGACAGAAAUCCACAACUGUAAUUUUAUUUCAGGACUCGGUUAUUAAAUGUCAAAACAAUCCAUGUGACUCUAAAAACUCAACAGCUUUACAAACUCUAAGAUUAAACUCUCCAAGGAUCCAAAAUAAGUUGAACUUCUACAUGAGAACUUUAAUUAUUCUUCAUCUACUUCCUGAAAAAUUUGGUCAAUAAAAAAGAGAAAAACUAAUAUUUUCAGCUGAACUAAAGACAGACUUUGGGAUUUUUCUGCUCACAUGUUGUGUUGUAAACUUACUCUUUCAAAUAAAUAGCCUCCUAACCCCCUGGAAA